GACUCUUGUGUCCUACUUUCCAGCUGUCUGGUUCUUUCCUUUUUAUUACGCUUCAGCUCCUGUAUGAUUGAUUGUAAUUAUAAUUGUGCCCUUUGGUUGCGAUUUCGUCCCUGGCUGGCCGAGUACAAACUCUGUUUCUCCUCUUCUUCGUUCAUCAACAUUGUUGCUUCUCGUUGGGUUGCCUUCUAAAAUAUCUCUGUUCUACAGUGCGGUGAGGAGAUGUAUUUGUCAUUGCUUUCCGCGUGUUCACUUCCGUGGUGUGGAUUGCGGAGCUUUGAGACAGAAAACAACUCAGCCCAUAUUUCAGCCAACUGUCACGGGUGUGCUGGGAGCAAUGGCCUUGAAGAAGGUUGCUGAGUGCAGAAGAGAGAAGUGUGAAGUCUCUGAUAAAUAACGACUUUAACGGCAGAACAUGUGCAGUGAACAAUACGGGGCGUUUUGUAUUAAAGGGGAUUUGUUGAUGUUUAGUAAAACGGUGUAACACCCCGUUCCCGUAGGAUAGAGACGUUACUAACCAACAUGAUAAAAUGCCCGGUAAAGAGACUCAUUACUCUGAAAUACCUCAUUUAUUG